AAGUUUGGUAGACAACCGCGCCAUUUCAUAGCGUCCCUUGGUGGCUUACAGUACACGUCACCUGCUGCACAGCUCUUAUUUCCAUGGAUUUUUGUAAAUUUUAGUUCGCCAUUGAUAAUGGGUGGAAGUACGCCCGAAACGUUUGGCUUUAUACAUUAAAGAAGAAUGAGA